AUUGAACGCUGGCGGCAGGCCUAACACAUGCAAGUCGAGCGAGCGGCGGACGGGUGAGUAAUGUCUGGGAAUCUGCCUGAUGGAGGGGGAUAACUACUGGAAACGGUAGCUAAUACCGCAUACUAUCAGAUGUGCCCAGAUGGGAUUAGCUAGUAGGUGGGGUAAUGGCUCACCUAGGCGACGAUCCCUAGCUGGUCUGAGAGGAUGACCAGCCACACUGGAACUGAGACACGGUCCAGACUCCUACGGGAGGCAGCAGUGGGGAAUAUUGCACAAUGGGCGCAAGCCUGAUGCAGCCAUGCCGCGUGUAUGAAGAAGGCCUUCGGGUUGUAAAGUACUUUCAGCAGGGAGGCGUUACCGGCAGAAGAAGCACCGGCUAACUCCGUGCCAGCAGCCGCGGUAAUUC
rnacentral:rRNA from 1 species